GAGAUAGUAUUAAAAAUUUCAGUGUGUAUAUAAAAUAAUAAUAGAGGAGAAUUGAGAGAGUUGAGAAUUUGAAGGAGUGUAAAAAAUAAUUAUUUAAAGCAUUUGAGAGAAAUAUAAAGAGUAUUAAGAAUUGAAGAGAGUGUAGAGAAUAAUUGUGUAAAAAAUAAUUAUUUAAAGCAUUUGAGAGAAAUAUAAAGAGUAUUAAGAAUUGAAGAGAGUGUAGAGAAUAAUU
rnacentral:misc_RNA from 1 species